ACCUCAAAGCACAUGCGGAAGUUUCCACCCCGGACAGCUGCUGCUGCCGCCGCCGCAGCUCAAAUGAGCUUCUGACAGUUGAUCAUUAGGAGGGGAAGCAGUGACAGCGAGGAGGCGGGCGAGGCGACGCCGCCAGGAAACACCACAGCCGGAUCCGCUGGACUGGACCUCAGACCCCGCACAUGGCUUCUCUCAGCAGCGCAGAGCGACGGGCUUUCGCUCUGAAGAUCAACAGGCACAGUUCUGCAGAGGCCAGACGGAAUUUCAUUGGGAACUAUGGCUUAUAUCAUAGUCGGUCCAACUCCAAUUCUUCUUCCACGGCCUACGUCAAUGUGCCUCCGGCGUAUGACGCAGUGGAGCCAUUGGACCUGGAGGAGUUCCUGAUGUCACAGUUAAGAAGUGAAGAUUCAGAUCUGAUGCAUGAAUUUGGAGAUUUUCCUGACGAUGACCUGAAGGUGGAGCAGGUGGAGAAGGAGCGACGUACCAUCCGGCACUCUGUCCCAGAGGAUGGAGGCGACUUAGAUCCACAUGUGAGAGAUUGCGUGAAGAGUUACACCCAGCCGUGGCUGGUUGUUUCCAGGAGGUGCCAGGGGGAUGGCUGGAGUGCAUAUUCAGAGCGAGUCGGCCUGCAUAAAGUCCUGCAUAAGCAAAUCUUUGAGUCUGAUUUCCAACCAGAAAACAAAGACAAACCAGUCAAGUCCCCAACUCUUGCAGGGCUGAGCGAUGACUCCAGCCGCACACUGACCUCGUGUGAUUUUAAUUUGCGAAGCCUGACUCCGGACCAGAGGGUAGAAGGACUGCUGGCCUUCAGCAGCCAUGAGGAGCUGGAUCGCUUCAACCAGGAGGCGCGGCAUGCAAAAAGACAUCCUGAGGUGUUUGCGCUGUACCCACCACCUGAUGAGGACGAUGCGGUGGAAAUCCGGCCCAUUCCCGACUGCCCCAAAGAACACAUUGGAGAACGCAUCUUGAUUCGAUGCCAGGCCAUGAAGUUUGAAAUCGACAUUGAGCCCAUUUUUGCCACCAUGGCCUUAUAUGACCUGAAAGAGAAAAAAAAGAUAUCAGAGAACUUCUACUGUGAUCUUAACUCAGAGCAGUUUAGAAACUUCUUGAAACCUCACACUCCACAUGUGGAUCACUCCACCUUGGCAAGGUCUGCCAUCUUCUCUGUUACUUACCCGUCCCCUGAUAUAUACCUGGUCAUCAAGAUUGAGAAGGUCCUCCAGCAAGGAGAGAUUAGUGACUGUGCUGACCCCUAUUUAACAAUGCGGGAGAGUGACUCUACAAAGAACAGAGACAAACUUGAGAAAUUGAAGAGCCAGGCGGAGGCUUUCUGCCAGAGGCUGGGCCGCUAUCGCAUGCCUUUUGCUUGGGCAACAGUUAACAUCAUGGAGGUCAUCUCUCAAACUGCUGCCUCGGACCGCGAUGUCACGGAUUCUGACGGCGUAAAAGGAGGUAAAUCCAGCAGCAUGGACCGGAAAACGCAGCUCCCCAGGAGGAACUCCGAGCGUUUCACCAGCAUGGAGGAAGCAUGUUAUAACGUUCACACUUUCAAACCUGCAACCAUCACUAUCACAACGAUUUUCAAACAGGAAGGGGAUCGUCUAAGUGACGAAGAUUUGUUGAAAUUCUUAGCUGAUAUUAAGAAAUCCUCAACUCCACAAAGAAGGAUCAAGACAAUACCAGGUUGCAUUAAAUUGGACAUGUCUCCCAUCCACGACACGCCGCAGGCCUGCCUGUCCACCGAACUCAUCCCACUCAUACCCGUGGCUGAGAAAAACAUCCGUCCCGUCAAAGAGGUGCUGGAGUUUCCCUCCAGUGAAGUUUACGUCCCUCACAACAUUUACAGGAACCUGCUCUAUGUGUAUCCCCAGAGACUGAACUUUGUCAACAGGCUCACUUCAGCAAGAAAUAUCACCAUCAAAAUCCAGUUCAUGAGUGGAGAGGACCCCAGUUGUGUUCUGCCUGUUAUUUUUGGGAAAUCCGGCGGUCCGGAGUUCUUACAAGAAGUUUACACACCUGUUACAUACCAUAACAAGUCUCCAGACUUCUAUGAAGAGGUGAAGCUUUCCCUUCCAGCCCGUCUGACGGAGAGACAUCACUUGCUGUUCACUUUCUACCACAUCAGCUGCCAACAGAAACAGAACCAGAGCGGCAACUGGGAGACCCUAAUUGGAUACUCUUGGUUGCCCAUCCUGAACUGCGACCGGCUGCAGACUGGGCAGUUCUGUCUGCCCAUCGUUCUGGAGCGACUUCCUGUCAACUACUCGCUACACACUCCAGAGAAACUUCCACCCCAGGUCCCUCCGGUCAAGUGGAUGGAGAGCCACAAAGGGCUUUUCAACCUUGAGGUCCAAGCUGUAUCGUCUGUUCACCCUCAAGACAAUCACUUGGAGCGUUUCUUCACCCUGUGUCAUGCGCUGGAAGGUGGAACUACAUUCCCUGUGCGGAUCAAGGACGAGAAGAUUCCCGAGAACAAACUGGAACCUGAGCUGAAGCUCAGCAUCGUAUCUUUGUCCUCCUCUAAUUUAGAGCCUCUGGUGCUCUUCCUCCACCGGGUACUGGAUAAACUUUUCACCCUCAUCAUGCAGCCUAUGGUCAUAGCUGGCCAAACUGCCAAUCUGGCCCAGAUAGCCUUUGAAUCGGUGGUGUCUAUUGUCAACAGUCUUCACAACAGCCAGGAGCUAUUCAGGGACCAGCUGGGAAGAAAUAUCCUCUUAGCAACCUACCUUUACUGGGUCUUUCGUCUUCCUGAUCCCCCCCGAGACACACAGAAUGCCGGUCCAGCAGGUUCAGCUCCAUCAUCAGACAGCCGUUACAUGACCAUAGGUCCGGCUACGGCUGCCAGAGUCGGCAGCAUGCUCCUCCAGUCCCGGGCCCGCAGCAGCAGCAACCCCGACAUCCCUGCUCAGCAAGCUUCUGAAGAAGAUGCAGAGAUCAAAGAUAUUCUCUCUGCAAAGGGCCUCAACUACCCGGGCAGCCGCGUGUCCACCUAUGUGGAAACCAGCAACUAUCAGAACUCUGCAGGAAGCACAAGACCCUCCAACAGAAAGCAAUUUCAUGAGGAGCUGGCUCUGCAGAUGGUUGUCAGCACUGGCGUCUGCAGAGAAAACGCUUAUAAAUAUGCCUGGUUCUUCUUUGAGCUGUUGGUGAAAAGCAUGGCUCAGCAUGUGUCUCAGCUAGACAGGUACACUGUCCCCCGAAGGAGCCGCUUCUCCGACAGAUUCAAAGAUGACGUCACCACCAUCGUCUCUGUGGUCACAGCAGAGAUUUGCACAAUCCUUGUCAAACAACAAAAGGAGGUAGAGCAAGCAGAGAAAAUCAACAUCAGUCUGGCCUUCUUCCUCUAUGACCUGCUGUCCCUCAUGGACCGAGGGUUUGUUUUCCAGCUUGUGAAAAACUACUGCAACCAGAUGUCUGCUAAGAGUGUUUCAAUGCCAACUUUGAUCAGCAUGCGCCUGGAGUUCCUGCGAAUCCUCUGCAGCCAUGAGCACUACCUCAACCUGAGCCUCUUCUUCAGCAGCCCGGCUUCUGCGCCCGCCUCUCCCUGCCCGUCCAUUUCUUCGCAGAGUUCUGGCUCCUACCAGGAACAGCAGAGGAUCUUGGCGUUGUUUGAUCUGUCUCAGGAAUUCAAGCAACAGCAUUACCUCACCGGUCUGCUCUUAACAGAACUUAGCGCAGCACUUGACAUGGAGUCAGAAGGGGGAAAGGUUCAAAGAAAGGCGAUCAAUGCAAUUUACAGUUUGCUGUGUUCCCAUGAUCUGGAUGAUCGUUGUGUUAAAACUGAUGUCAGAGCCAAGGUUUCUGCUCUCUACCUCCCCCUGGUGGGGAUUAUUAUAGAGUCGACCAACUACUUGGAUUUCACAGUUUGUGACACACGCGCCGGCAAGAACAAGACCGGCGAAUCCGAGGAUGACCUUGAAAACGUCCCGGCUAUCAAUCAGUCUGUUGCCAUGGCGAUUGCUGGAAAUCCCUUCAACACGUUGGGGCGUAACGUUCUCAUCUCCAUGGCAUCCCUGCAAGGUAAAUCUGUUGCCACCCUGGCUGCAGACACCAGUCGCCACCUGCUAGUUUGUUUCCUCUGGGUGAUGAAGAAUGCUGAUAGAAACCUUAUCCAGCGCUGGACUGUGGAUAUGCCUCCUUCACAACUCAAUAAAUUGCUGGAGCUCCUGACUAUAUGUGUAUCUUGCUUUGAGUACAGGGGUAAGCAGAGCAGUGACAAAGUGAGCACACAGGCCUUACAGAAAUCUCAGCAGGCCAAGCUGCAGCUAGAAGAAGCCCUGCUGAGAGGAAUGGGAGCCCGUGGAGAAAUGAUGAAACGGGUUGGAGGAACGGACAGAACUGUGGGUCAGAGAGAGAACCUGCGCUGGAGGAAAGACCUCACUCAGUGGAGACAAACAAACGAUCGACAGGAUAAAACGAAAGCAGAGUUGGACCAGGAGGCUCUCAUCAGUGGGAAUUUAGCCACAGAGGCUAAUCUUAUAGUCCUGGACCUGUUGGAGACCAUAAUACAGGCGGUGCCGUUAAAUGAGUGUAAAGAUAGCGUUGUUGGCGGCGUGUUGAAGGUGUUACUCCACUCUCUCACCUGCAACCAGAGCACCACUUUCCUCCGUCACACCUUCAGCACACUGAGAGCACUUGUCGUCAAGUUCGGAGACCUGUUGUUCGAGGAGGAGGCGGAGCAGUGUGCAGAUCUGUGCCAGAAGGUGCUUCAGUACUGCAGCAGCCCUGUUGAUGAGAACAGAAGCCAGGCAUGUGCCACGCUCUAUCUCAUCAUGAGAUACAGCUACAGUAAUGCCAGCAACUUUUCAAGGGUGAAGAUGCAGGUCACCAUGUCACUGGCCUCACUUGUGGGCAAAUCAUCAGAUUUCCAGGAGGAAUAUCUGAGGCGCUCCCUCCGCACCAUCCUGGCUUAUGCAGAGGAGGAUGCCGAGAUGCAGAACACCCAGCUUCCCUCACAGGUGGAUGAGCUGUUAAGAAACCUUAACAGCAUCUUGUCAGACACUGUGAAGAUGAGGGAGUUUCAGGAGGAUCCUGAAAUGCUUAUGGAUCUUAUGUAUAGGAUAGCAAAGGGCUACCAGACAUCUCCUGACCUCCGUUUGACCUGGCUGCAGAACAUGGCAGAGAAGCACAACAACAGGAAGUGUUACACAGAGUCAGCCAUGUGCCUGGUCCAUGCUGCUGCUCUGGUGGCUGAGUACCUCAGCAUGUUGGAGGAUCACAAAUACCUUCCUGUUGGAAGUGUCACCUUUCAGAACAUUUCCCCCAAUGUGCUUGAGGAGUCAGCUGUGUCCGAUGACAUCCUGUCCCCGGACGAGGAUGGCGUGUGCUCGGGACGGUACUUCACAGAAAGCGGCUUGGUGGGAUUGCUCGAACAGGCUGCUGAGCUUUUCAGCAAUGGUGGUCUCUAUGAGGCAGUGAAUGAAGUCUACAAGAUCAUCAUACCAAUCUUGGAGGCUCGAAGAGAUUUUCGAAAACUGGCUUCCACACAUGACAAGCUUCACAGAGCUUUCGAUAACAUCAUCCAGAAGGGCCACAAGAGGAUGUUUGGCACCUAUUUCCGUGUGGGUUUUUAUGGAGCCAAGUUUGGAGACCUAGAUGAACGGGAAUUUAUUUACAAGGAGCCUGGAAUCACACAUCUCCCUGAGAUAUCACACAGGCUAGAGAACUUCUAUAGCCAGUGUUUUGGAGAUGACACGCUGGUAAUGAUUAAGGACUCUACACCUGUGGACAGAAAACAGCUCAACCCCAGCAAGGCAUAUAUUCAGAUCACAUACGUGGAACCCUACUUUGAUGACUAUGAGAUGAAAGACCGUCUAACGAACUUUGAGAAGAACUUCAAUCUGAGGCGGUUUAUGUACACCACGCCCUUCACCAAGAGUGGUCGACCUCGAGGUGAGCUCAAUGAGCAGUACAAGAGGAAGACCAUCCUCACCACCAUGCACGCCUUCCCCUAUGUCAAGACACGCAUCAAUGUCAUCCAGAAAGAGGAGUUUGACCUUACUCCUAUAGAAGUGGCCAUAGAGGACAUGCAGAAGAAAACUAGGGAGCUUGCAGUUGCCACACAUCGGGAGCAACCCGAUGCUAAGAUGCUACAGAUGGUGCUACAAGGCUCUGUGGGAGCCACUGUUAACCAGGGCCCGCUGGAGGUGGCCCAGGUCUUCCUGAAUGAGAUCCCGGCAGACCCCAAGCUCUUCCGUCACCACAAUAAACUGCGCCUGUGUUUCAAAGAGUUUAUAAUGAGAUGUGGUGAGGCUGUUGAGAAGAAUAAGCACUUAAUCACAUCAGACCAGAAGGAGUACCAGCAGGAGCUGAAGAAGAACUACAACCGCCUGAGAGAAAACCUGAGGCCCAUGUUGGAGAGAAAGAUUCCCGAGCUUUACAAACCCAUCGUCAGGCCUCGCCUGGAGAACAGAGAAGUUAAAAAAUUGACAGUUUCAAAAUAAUAAAAUAAACCUCAUGCAAGAAAUGGAUAUUAAUACGGUCUUUCUAUGAACUGAUAUUACACAUCUUUGGACUCUUUCAAACGCCUGAGUUUCCGCAGAACUCUGGAGGAAAACUCGUGAGGUUCCUCAGCUUGUUGGGAAGUGUCACAAAGUCUAAGGCAUGAAAGAAGAUAAGCUAAAAAGAACUGCUGGUGACACCUCUUAAAGUAUCUGAGGAAAAAGGCGUGUCAAAAUGGAGGACUCACCUUUUUUUUUUGUAAAUUCAGCCUUGUGCACACAUGCAUGACCACUUUUGUAAUGUCAUGUAUGCUGCAUAAGAACAGAGCACAGAAAAAGAGGGUAAAUGGUUAUCCUUAGCAAAGUGUAGCUUUUUAAAUAUUUCACUGUAAAAUCAAGUCCUGAUACUGCUGCAAACAUUUUCUCCUGGUCAGCAAAGCUCUUUUACUGACCCAAUGUUCAUACUAUGUAUAUUCUGCUAAUGGUUGUGUCCUGUAUGUACGUACAUUUCUGAAUGAACUUGCAGAUUUGCAUAUGGCACAGAAUAAAAAAAGUUUGAGUGAUCAACAAUUCUGCUACAGAACCUCUGGGUUUCUAUGCAUGACAUUUUGUUAAAUUUUAGUUUCAUUAUUUAUCAAGUUCAAAUAACUGAACUUUAUAAAUAAUGAGAAAGUUCAAUUAUUUGAAAUGGAUGGAUUAUGCACUGGAGAAAUAUGUACACAUGUCCGCUUUAGCCUGCAUCCUUGUCUUGCUUCCUUACUUCUGGACAUCCAGCAUUUAAUCAACAAAUAGGUGCAGGAAAUCCUCUCUGAGGUCUAAACUGCUGUUCACAGAUGCAUAAAAGCCACUUUUUUUGUACAUAGCUCCAUUUACAAAAAUUAAAAGGUAUUUUGCAUUUUAUUUUAUAGCAAUUUAAUUUUUGUAUAUAUACCAGUUCCAGUGCCACAUUUAAAAUGUUUCUUUCUAUCAUAAAUGAGAAACUUCAGAAUAAUUGCAAUAUUUUUGAAAAUCCUGCCAGCACAGGCUAUGCUGAAAUACUUUUUCAGGAAAGAUUUGCAAGACUUGCUUUUGAAAAUAAAAUAUUUCUAAUCUUAUUAUUUACACACAUGACAGCUCAAACUGCUAGUUUUAUGUUCUAGGUCACAAUGUAUUUAAUGUAAAUGUGUUUAUUUUUCAUGAAUAGAAAUACAUUUUAAAUACAUUAUCAUUGCUCAAUUGAUUAUUUGUUUGUAUUUAUUAGCUGUUAGAUUUUUUUUAAUGGUUUAGUAAAACAAAGUCAUGAAACUUGCUGUAUCAACUAAGUAUUAAUUAAAGUGCAUUUCUAUUUUUGAACUAAUCUAAACAUGUGUUGUAAGAUACAUUUGUGGCAUUCAAAUCUGUCAUUUGUUGUGUAUUUGUUCAUAUUGUUUGUUUUACUAAAUUAGGAACAUUUGUCAAGCACAGUCCUUUUGCAGAAAGUUAAUAAAUUUAACAUAUGCAUA